GAUGAAGAACGCAGCGAAAUGCGAUAAGUAAUGUGAAUUGCAGAAUUCAGUGAAUCAUCGAAUCUUUGAACGCACAUUGCGCCCGCCAGUAUUCUGGCGGGCAUGCCUGUUCGAGCGUCAUUUCAACCAUCAAGCCCCCGGCUUGUGUUGGGGACCUGCGGCUGCCGCAGGCCCUGAAAAGCAGUGGCGGGCUCGCUGUCACACCGAGCGUAGUAGCAUACAUCUCGCUCUGGGCGUGCUGCGGGUUCCGGCCGUUAAACCACCUUCAUAACCCAAGGUUGACCUCGGAUCAGGUAGGAAGACCCGCUGAACUUAAGCAUAUCAAUGAGCGGAGGA
rnacentral:misc_RNA from 1 species